rnacentral:rRNA from 1 species
AGAGUUUGAUCCUGGCUCAGAGUGAACGCUGUCGGCAGGCCUAACACAUGCAAGUCGAACGGCAGCGGGUCGUAGCAAUACGAUGCCGGCGAGUGGCGGACGGGUGAGGAAUACAUCGGAAUCUACCUUGUCGUGGGGGAUAACGUAGGGAAACUUACGCUAAUACCGCAUACGAACUAUGGUUGAAAGCGGCGGACCGCAAGGCGUCGCGCGAUUGGAUGAGCCGAUGUCCGAUUAGCUAGUUGGCGGGGUAAAGGCCCACCAAGGCGACGACU